rnacentral:misc_RNA from 1 species
GAUGAAGAACGUAGCGAAAUGCGAUAAGUAAUGCGAAUUGCAGAAUUCCGUGAGUCAUCGAAUCUUUGAACGCACAUUGCGUCCUCUGGUAUUCCGGAGGGCAUGCCUGUCUGAGCGUCAUUGUCAACCCUCAAGCUCAGCUUGCUGUUGGGUCCCCGUCGUUGCUUUAACGGCGGACCCGAAAGGUAAUGGCAGAGUCCGUGAGACCCUAGACGCAGCGAGCUUCUAGCACGCGUCUGGACGUUUUUCGGGCUCGGUCUUAACUAGAUGAUAACUUCCGAUUGACCUCAGAUCAGGUAGGGAUACCCGCUGAACUUAAGCAUAUCAAUAAGCGGAGGA